rnacentral:rRNA from 1 species
GCCAGCAGCCAUAUCACUCUGCAACUGAUAACGGGCAACCCACUGAAGCUCAGCAGGUGUGAGCCUGGCCAGUACCUGGAUGGGAGACCACCUGGGAAAAACUAAGGUUGCUGCUGGAA